AGUGAACGCUGGCGGUAGGCCUAACACAUGCAAGUCGAACGGCAGCACAGUAAGAGCUUGCUCUUACGGGUGGCGAGUGGCGGACGGGUGAGGAAUACAUCGGAAUCUACUUUUUCGUGGGGGAUAACGUAGGGAAACUUACGCUAAUACCGCAUACGACCUACGGGUGAAAGCAGGGGAUCUUCGGACCUUGCGCGAUUGAAUGAGCCGAUGUCGGAUUAGCUAGUUGGCGGGGUAAAGGCCCACCAAGGCGACGAUCCGUAGCUGGUCUGCGAGGAUGAUCAGCCACACUGGAGCUGAGACACGGUCCAGACUCCUGCGGGAGGCAGCAGUGUGGAAUAUUGGGCAAUGGGCGCAAGCCUGAUCCAGCCAUACCGCGUGGGUGAAGAAGGCCUUCGGGUUGUAAAGCCCUUUUGUUGGGAAAGAAAAGCAGCAGGUUAAUACCCCGCUGUUCUGACGGUACCCAAAGAAUAAGCACCGGCUAACUUCGUG
rnacentral:rRNA from 1 species